rnacentral:rRNA from 1 species
UACAGAGGGUGCAAGCGUUAAUCGGAGUUACUGGGCGUAAAGCGUGCGUAGGCGGACAUUUAAGUCGAGCGUGAAAUCCCCGGGCUUAACCUGGGAACUGCGUUCGAUACUGGGUGUCUAGAGUGCGGUAGAGGAAAGUGGAAUUUCCGGUGUAGCGGUGAAAUGCGUAGAUAUCGGAAGGAACAUCAGUGGCGAAGGCGGCUUUCUGGCCCGGCACUGACGCUGAGGCACGAGAGCGUGGGGAG